GCGUUCUUCUUCAAUUCUCUUUUGCAGGUUUCUAGUUAUUCAUUUGGGGUUAUACAUUUUUUUUGAAUUAUAGCGUAUUUUAAUGCUUUUAGAUUUCUAGUUAUUGAAGUUUUAAUUUUAGGGACUGCCUAUAAGGGCAAAAUAGUACAUUUACUAAUAUCUUUUUUUUUUUUUUUUAAAAAUUAGAGGCUAUAUUGUGUAAAAUUGAGGCUAUCUAUAUAAUUACCUUAUUUAUAAUUACAUUGUUGAGCUUGAAGAUCGAACCGAUAACAAGAUAAAAAAUAAAAAUGAUAAUGAAAUGCAAGAACAUUUGGUUUACUUGGCUCAACAUAAGCCUACAUUCACGCGAAGGUCAUCAGAAAUGUCUUCACUAAAUUAUCUGCAUUCGAAAAUAAGAAUUUAGACAACUGAUUUACUAUUGCUCAACUCCUUUUCUAUCUUUG
rnacentral:lncRNA from 1 species